GGUCGCAUAGCUUAGAUGGAAAAGCGCCUGCCUAUUAAGCAGGAGAUCACGAGUUCGAUU
rfam:Daphnia magna strain Xinb3 contig59128, whole genome shotgun sequence.